AACGAGGCCGACCUGCGGCUGAGUUACCUGCGGAAGGAUCAUUAUCGAAUUUGCGAGAGCUGGCCAUCAUGGCCGCUCCCAUCUUCUUAUAUAUUACCCUCGUGGACUGUGGGAGUGAGGGCACAACGCCGCUUGCGCCUCAACGGGCAAGAUGAUAAGUCGUGUCAGCCCGUUUGUAGCUCCGUCACUUCAUUAUCUUAAAAGUCUAAUGAGUUGGCGCUUCGGCGCAUGCAAACAAAU
rnacentral:misc_RNA from 1 species